rnacentral:rRNA from 1 species
AUGCCCCCGCCAUGGCAGCCCUCAACCUACGCCGCCGGCACGAUAGUGGCAGCAUCCCCCUGCCGCUCCUCCUCACCGGCCGGAUUUCACGCAUCCCCUUAUUCCGAUCCCCUUUCUUCCGUUUCAGAUGAAGAGAAGACCAUUGGAGAUACUUCCUCAGCUGCCCCUCCUAUCUCCCUCGAUGAUGAAUUUCCGAAGGCCACCGCCAUGGGACCUUAUGCAAGUGCAGGCUGGUCGGACCUCCCCAUAGAUCUCCUCAUCCGGAUACUGCAUCUCCUUGAGCUCCCCGAGGCCCUCGCCUUCCAUGCUGUCUGCCCAUCAUGGCGUUCUGCAUCUGUGGCUGCAGGUGGUGUCCCACCUCGCCGCACACCGUGGCUUGUGUCCUUGGCGGAGGAGCCUCUUCCGGCAGGGGAUCAACAGCGGCCUGUGCGUCGUGGAUUAUGGGAUCCUACUGCCACUUCUGAGCUCCGCAACCUCGUGGAUGCUGAGAAAACUUUCCAGGUCAGCUUUCCCUGGGGCCAGGCCGUGGCCUGCUGCGGCGCCUCCCAUGGCUGGUUAAUCAUGGCAAACGAGCUCUCGGAUCUCGUCCUCUAUAACCCCUUCACCACGGCGUCACUCUCGCUCCCGCCAAUCACCGGUUUUGCAUCGUGCAUCGAGGGGGUUUACGGAGAUGAAGGGAACGUCGUGGGCUAUCGUUACAGUUGUUACGAGAGUGACAGUGUCUAUGAUGUGCGGUCUCUUGGUGGGUUCUUCUAUGACAAGGUUGUGUUGUCCGGUUCUCCAUCUGCUGGUCCCGCAAUUGCUUUGUCCAUGCACAUGGACGGUAAGCGACUCUCUUUUGCGAGGGUCGGAGAUAGUUCUUGGCGACAAGUUUCAGUGAUAAGGAGAAGCCUGGAUAGCUAUGCCGAUUGCGUCUACCACCGCGGCAGGUUCUACGUGGUGACAAUGGAAGGUAAAUUGAAGUCUUGGGGCCUCAGUGGACCGGAGGACAGACCGCGAAAGAAAACGAUCAUUGCCGAGGGAGAUGAUUACUUUUUUGAACUUAUCACGAGAUACCUAGUUUCAACUCCCUGGGGACAUCUUCUGCAGAUUCGUGUCGUCCUCGACAAGUAUCAGGAGCACUACGUCAGGGUUGAUGUAGACAGAUUGGAUCUCAAGAGCAGCCAAAUGGUGGGAGUAAGCCCUGCGAAGGCUCUAAGGGGACACGCGGCGUUCCUUGGUCAGAAUAGCCGGGGUAUAUUGUCCGUGGAUAAAUUCCCCGAGGUAAGGCCAGAUUGUAUCUACUUCACGACUCCCCGUCUCAGGGGGGACGCUUUCGAGCAUCGCCAUAACCAAUGGAGCGGUGUGAAGGUCUAUGAUUUGAGAAGUCGGAAGCUGGAGGAUGCUUUUCUGUCGGGUGGUGGUCAUUAUGGAACAAUCUGUCCAUCGGAGGUCUGGUUCACGCCGAGCCUGUGA